GUGCUCACUUUGGCAGUACGAAAACGGAAUUUGGAAUGAUACAGAGAAGAUGGGCAUGGUCUCUGCUCAAGGAUGACAUGCCAGCUCAAAACAUUCAUAUUGGCUCA
ensembl:snRNA U6 U6 spliceosomal RNA